ensembl:lncRNA
UGAACAUCGUGAGAAAUUUCAGGAGCUCAAGAAGGAGAUUAACUUCUAUCGCAACCUGCACAGCCGGCUCCUGAUGGACCAGGCAUGUAUGAAGAAGAAGUUGGUCACAUUGAAGCAGGAGAGCAAGGAGUUAGAGCGAUAUUUGUUUGAGUUGAACCCGAAUGCUGAAGACGAACAGGAGAAGACCAGCAACCUCCAGACCCAGCAAAAUGUGGUCUCAGGAACUGCAGGAGACAUGGAAUAGGACAGAUCCCAAGAAGACAGCCCCCUGAAGAGUGAGUUUCUCUGUCAGGAGUUCCCUGCUGACGACAAUCCUCAACAGUCAAAGACUUUUUUGGGGAGAAUAUUCUUCUUCUCAGUUAAUUUCCUCAUUGUAUAGAGACCCUAAAUUUAUGUAUCCGUAUGCCAGCCUGUCUCAUUGAGGUCUUUCUCCUCUCUCAUACCGACAACACCAUUUGAGAGACAUCUGAGGGGACUGCCUUGACAUCUCGUGUCCUAGAGGAGAAAAAGCACUAC